AUUGAACGCUGGCGGCAUGCCUUACACAUGCAAGUCGAACGGCAGCACGGGGCAACCUGGUGGCGAGUGGCGAACGGGUGAGUAAUGCAUCGGAACGUACCUUUCAGUGGGGGAUAACGUAGCGAAAGUUACGCUAACACCGCAUAUUCUGUGAGCAGGAAAGCAGGGGAUCGCAAGACCUUGCGCUGAUUGAGCGGCCGAUGUCAGAUUAGCUAGUUGGUGAGGUAAAGGCUCACCAAGGCGACGAUCUGUAGCGGGUCUGAGAGGAUGAUCCGCCACACUGGAACUGAGACACGGUCCAGACUCCUACGGGAGGCAGCAGUGGGGAAUUUUGGACAAUGGGGGCAACCCUGAUCCAGCCAUGCCGCGUGAGUGAAGAAGGCCUUCGGGUUGUAAAGCUCUUUCGGCCGGGAAGAAAUCGCACGGGCUAAUACCCUGUGUAGAUGACGGUACCGGAAUAAGAAGCACCGGCUAACUACGUGCCAGCCGCCGCGGUAAAAC
rnacentral:rRNA from 1 species